rnacentral:misc_RNA from 1 species
UGUGGGAGCGAGCCUGCUCGCGAUAGCGGUGAGUCAGCUAUGAAGCUGUUGACUGACACGCCGCUAUCGCGAGCAGGCUCGCUCCCACA